rnacentral:snRNA from 1 species
UGACUCUGGUUUCUCUUCAUUACGCACAAGCCUUUCGCCUUUUACUAAAGACUUCUAGGGAGAGGAACGCUGAUUAGUUCAACGUUUGUUUGGUUAGGCGGCAGGUAGCCUA